rnacentral:rRNA from 1 species
ACGCUGGCGGCGUGCCUAAUACAUGCAAGUAGAACGCUGAAGCUUGGUGCUUGCACCGAGCGGAUGAGUUGCGAACGAGUGAGUAACGCGUAGGUAACCUGCCUCUUAGCGGGGGAUAACUAUUGGAAACGAUAGCUAAUACCGCAUAAAAGUCGACAUCGCAUGAUGUUGACUUGAAAGGUGCAAUUGCAUCACUAAGAGAUGGACCUGCGUUGUAUUAGCUAGUUGGUGAGGUAACGGCUCACCAAGGCGACGAUACAUAGCCGACCUGAGAGGGUGAUCGGCCACACUGGGACUGAGACACGGCCCAGACUCCUACGGGAGGCAGCAGUAGGGAAUCUUCGGCAAUGGGGGCAACCCUGACCGAGCAACGCCGCGUGAGUGAAGAAGGUUUUCGGAUCGUAAAGCUCUGUUGUAAGAGAAGAACGAGUGUGAGAGUGGAAAGUUCACACUGUGACGGUAACUUACCAGAAAGGGACGGCUAACUACGUGCCAGCAGCCGCGGUAAUACGUAGGUCCCGAGCGUUAUCCGGAUUUAUUGGGCGUAAAGCGAGCGCAGGCGGUUAGAUAAGUCUGAAGUUAAAGGCUGUGGCUUAACCAUAGUACGCUUUGGAAACUGUUUAACUUGAGUGCAGAAGGGGAGAGUGGAAUUCCAUGUGUAGCGGUGAAAUGCGUAGAUAUAUGGAGGAACACCGGUGGCGAAAGCGGCUCUCUGGUCUGUAACUGACGCUGAGGCUCGAAAGCGUGGGGAGCAAACAGGAUUAGAUACCCUGGUAGUCCACGCCGUAAACGAUGAGUGCUAGGUGUUGGGUCCUUUCCGGGACUCAGUGCCGCAGCUAACGCAUUAAGCACUCCGCCUGGGGAGUACGACCGCAAGGUUGAAACUCAAAGGAAUUGACGGGGGCCCGCA